GGAAACGAACAGAGAGAGAGAGAGAGGUAAGAGGAUUUAGAGAUAGAGAGGAGCAGGGAGCAAGAGAAGAAGCUGAGAGCUCGGAAAGCACGCAGGAGAGGAAGAACGGGUGAGUGGGGAAGAAAUAAGAAGAGGUUUGGGGAAGGCGGGAGCAAGGCCCGACAGUUAGUAUGUGAGGAAUUAGGGAACCCAAUUUAGUUGCGGACAUCUUUAGGGACCGAGGAGACUGAAUUCCGGCAUUUGAAAGGCUUGAUUCGAUGGAGUUAGAUAAGUUUGCAAUUGCCGGAGGAACCACUUUUUUAAUAUUGGAGAUCAGCUUGGAGGACUAAGUAGGAACCUUAGUUAUUUAAUAGAUAUCCUUUCUGUAUAGAAUGGAUUUUAGAAUGUUACGAUCUGAAGAUUUUGUUUAGUUGUAUCACUGAUGUGAGAGCGAAAAAGAAAUCUCCAGAAAAGUGUAUAUACCUAUUAGAAUUGAUGGAUUGGCUAUAUACUUUGGAAAUUUAUGAGAAGUAAGUUUUUAUGUGAAAA